rnacentral:rRNA from 1 species
CCUACGGGCGGCAGCAGUGGGGAAUAUUGGACAAUGGGGGCAACCCUGAUCCAGCCAUGCCGCGUGUGUGAAGAAGGCCCUCGGGUUGUAAAGCACUUUCAGUGAGGAAGAACGCCUGGUGGUUAAUACCCAUCAGGAAAGACAUCACUCACAGAAGAAGCACCGGCUAACUCCGUGCCAGCAGCCGCGGUAAUACGGAGGGUGUGAGCGUUAAUCGGAAUUACUGGGCGUAAAGCGCGCGUAGGUGGCUUGAUAAGCCGGUUGUGAAAGCCCCGGGCUCAACCUGGGAACGGCAUCCGGAACUGUCAAGCUAGAGUGCAGGAGAGGAAGGUAGAAUUCCCGGUGUAGCGGUGAAAUGCGUAGAGAUCGGGAGGAAUACCAGUGGCGAAGGCGGCCUUCUGGACUGACACUGACACUGAGGUGCGAAAGCGUGGGUAGCAAACAGGAUUAGAUACCCUGGUAGUC